UGAGUAACCUGCCCUUGACUCUGGGAUAAGCCUGGGAAACCGGGUCUAAUACUGGAAUACGACCUUCUGGCGCAUGCCAUGUUGGUGGAAAGCUUUUUGUGGCUUUGGAUGGACUCGUGGCCUAUCAGCUUGUUGGUGGGGUAAUGGCCUACCAAGGCGACGACGGGUAGCCGGCCUGAGAGGGUGACCGGCCACACUGGGACUGAGACACGGCCCAGACUCCUACGGGAGCAG
rnacentral:rRNA from 1 species